GACGGAGGAUGCAAGCGUUAUCCGGAAUCACUGGGCGUAAAGCGUCUGUAGGCGGUUCGAAAAGUCCACUGUUAAAAAUUGAGGCUUAACUUCAAAGAUGCCGUGGAAACUUUCAAACUAGAGUAUGGUAGGGGUAGAGGGAAUUUCCAGUGGAGCGGUGAAAUGCGUAGAUAUUGGAAAGACCACCGAUGGCGAAGGCACUCUACUGGGCCAUUACUGACACUGAGAGACGAAAGCUAGGGGAGCAAAUGGG
rnacentral:rRNA from 1 species